rnacentral:lncRNA from 1 species
AUAUCUUUUGGAAUGGAGUCUAAUCGUCCAAAGGAUAGUUUUCACGUGUAGUGUUUUUCUCUUUGAUUUGAGAUAGGAGGUUUUCUGUGGCUGCUAAGCAAUACACAUAUACCUACGUGGCAUACAAUGUCUUUUUUUUUUGGUGGAAUUCUUAGCAUGCAUAUUUUUCUCAGCUAAAUGAUUUUUAACAGCAGUUAUUUAGUUCCUAUUGCACCUUUCCAAAAUUGCGUUCAUGGUAGAUACUUCUCAAAUAAGGUUUAGUUUUAUUAAAAUUCUUACGUCUUUCUGAAACAAAUAUACUAAAUCUUCCAGAAGAGCCCAUAAUAAUAAUAAUUUUUUUGCGUGUGUCUUAUGAGCCUGUGCGUAUGUGUGCACCACGCAGAUUUGUGUACACAUUUGUAUGUAAUACUGUUACAACUAUAAAUGGCAAAAGAACGUAUUUUAAGCCUCUUGGGGUUUCAACAAAUUGUGAUAAAAGGGUGGUGGUGGCCGAGAUGACUUUCUCCCACUCUAUUAAGAAAAAGUGCAAAAUGAAUGAGGGCAAACUGCUGGCUGCGAUUGUGAUUGUGCACAACUGCAAAGCGGGAUCGGCUGGGAUGGAGGCCACGGAGCAGGAACACCCCGUGUCUUGCCCCCCCUUCUGAAUGCCUCUCAGUAGUGGCAUUGUGGGGACUCAUGAAUUACUUCUUACAGUCGGGGCUCCUUGCUAUAAAUCCAGCCCUGGUGCCGAGCGCACUGUGGGCAGCGGAGCACCGAGCCGGGCCGGCGGUGUUUGUGUUGUUGUUAGCGACACGUAGCGAGUUCCUCCUAAGCGGAAAGGCCCCGGCUCCAGUUUGUCGCCAGCGAAAGCCGAAACACGAGUCGCACAUGUGGAGCGGGAGCCGUCAGCCGCCGGGCGGCGGGGUGGGGGGGUGGGGGGCUGCGGGAGCGGGGGGGAGGGGGAGGGAAUGCGGCCCGAGGCGGGGCCUAGCGCUCACCGGGGGAUUUGUUUGGGGGGCUGGGGAGGGGAGAGAGGGGACAGGGUGGGAGCAAAGAAAGUAGCCCAAGGGGAACCAGGAAAAGGAUGCCUUGACCUCUAAAUGUUGUGCCCUCCCCGUGACAUCUCACUACUUGUGAGAAUAUUUGAGAAUUAAAAUAAAAAAAAAAGGAACCCUUUGUGGUGCGGCUUCAAAAUGGUUUUCCUUCCCAGGAUAUCCUGUGCCUGUCUUUGGGUGAGUUUUUCAUAGGUUACUUGGUUAGGAGACUUCUCCUAUCCCUUUAAGAGGUAAAAACAUAAAAAACAAAUGUAAAUGUAGGGACUUUAACACUUCCCCCCUUCCUAACAUUCGUAUAAUUGCUGUUAAGCCACACUGAAAACCCUGGGGCCUGGUGUUCACCAGGGUAAAGUUACAUUUCACAAGCAGAAAAUUGACUCACCACUUAGGAAAAUUGGCUACCAAUUAUGUGUCAAAGGCUCUAAAGUCAGACCUGAGGUUUUCUUUUUGCCAGAAUGGGGAAUUAAAAAGAGCACAGGCACCCAGCUUUGUACCCACUACUCCCUCCGGGAGCAAUUCUUGCUUGCCGCUGGGUUUCUUCUGAGUUUGCUUCUAAGCCUUGGCGGGGAAGGAGGGCUCCUGGCUGAACCCAGCCAGACUGGCUAGCAGGAUGAACGGAGGCAGGAGUCAGUCAACCCUUAUAAGGGAGUUCAUGCACAAAGUGGCUUAUCCUUGGUUUUGUUUUUAAUGCCGUGAAAUUAAACCUUAUUUAGUGCUUCAUUUUCUGCCUCUAGAGGGAGAGAAAGAGAAAGCGUUAGGACCCACCAAAUUGAAUGAAUUUGCUGUGCUGUGUCGGAGAGAGUUAGUUUUGUAGGACAACCGGGAUGUAAAAUCAUUCUGGAGAUUAUCACCAGAUAAGCACCCCUCCCAAGAACACGAUGUGAUAUGUAAUAAUUUUAGUGAGGAAAACCAUCCUUGUUUUGCCUUCUGGGAAAUCUUAUGCUAUUUCUAUUUGAUUCUAACGUUGGACAAUUUCCAGAGUUCUGAAGAACCAACUAUCUUAACUCCUCAAUGAUUUUGACAGGGAAGACAAAAAAGGGACAGCAAUUCUGGGGCUGGGGCUGGAUCUCAACCAAAAUAUCUAAUUUCAAUUUAGUCCUGGCUUCUUAGCUGGAACAAAGAGAAAGUUUUUACAUUUUGCAGAAUAUUUAGUUCGCCUCAAAGUCUAUUGGGUUAAAAUAUAUGUGUGUAGUUGGCAUGCCGUGGAAGGAAGCCACGACAUAGCAGGUUGUGGUCAGGGUCAGACAUGUGGCUGAAGUCAGAGGUGGGACACAGGGAUGUGAGUACUCAAUAAUAAACACAGUGCCAGACACUCGGUACGCAGUAAUAUCUAUUGAAUGAGUUAUUGGAUGAAAAGCAAUGUAGCUUGUGGCUGUGGAGGGACUACUUCAUAAAGCCUAUCUUACUUUAUAAUAAAAGGAGGAAAACAUAAAUAAAAGACACUCAAAUAUUUAUACAGUUAUUCAAAGGAUUAAAUGUAUUUGGUAAGGUCUUAAGGUUGUUUAAUAUUUUCCCCUUCUUUUGAAUCUUUGUUUUUAGCUCUGGUACAUUGAAGAUUUUCUUUUUCCUGUGGUUUUGUUUAUAGAAAUUAACAAAUUCCCUUGUGAUCCUUAAGAAGUUACUUUAGAAAUAUACAAAUAUACAUGAAUGAGAGAAAGGGGAUAUGAAAUAGAUGAGAUAAGGAAAUAUUGUCAUAAUAACUACACUCUUUAUAUUACACUACUUAGUUAACACUACGUAUAAUUGAAUAAAUGACAACAACAGUGAGUAAUAGACUACUUAUUUGACUCAGAGAGAAAAAUCUUGGGGACCUGCACUUUAGAAGAAUAUAAUUUUACUUUUAAUUUUUAUGUUAUAUGAAUACUCUGUGGCAAUGUACAUACUCCACAUGUAUUUUCUGCCUCGUGACUUACACUGGAAGAGAGAGGAAUGAUUAGUUUAUAUGUUAAAAAUGCAGUGAAUUUUUAUUUGUCCUGAGUCCACUUCCUCCACUCCUACACACCAGCUAGGAUUCUCUUGUGAGACAGAACACACUUUAUAGUUUUGGUUUGUUUAAUUAUAUGAAAAUUUAAGUAUUCAGACAAUAGUUUUUAGUAGAUUAAAACAACAACAAUAGCGACAACCCCCACAACACCUGCAUUAACUUGGGGUCCUUCAAAAGCCCAGUGUUUCCAAUAAUGUAAUUUGUUGCUUAAUAAAUAGGAGGUUGGGCCCAAUAUCCUCUGCUAAGAUUGUCAUCACUUACACUUAAGAUGAAUUAAAUUUCUCUUAACAAACAUUAGUGGGUAUUCUAUGUAGUUAAACAUUCUGGUUAAUAGAUAAUUUCUUCAUAUGAUAUACACAGAACAUCAUUUUUAGAUAUAAUAACAUAGCUAUGAUCAAUACAGUUUUAUUCAACAAUUAGGUGUUGUAUAAGGUCCCUGGGGGAAUUGUAUAAAGUGUUCCCAUCUCUCAAAGAACUUCUCACCUAGUGACAUUUUUCUGUGAUUCAGAGAUACCUUGGUGACUUGCUGUGAAUUAGGGUCACAAUUAUGACUAUCAUUUAUCAUUGUACUGUGACUGCACAAGUGCCAGUUAAUAGAAGAUUCAGAAUGAUAGAAUGCAGAAUAAAUCACAUCACCUUUUUCUGGAGUAGUGUCUUGGUGAGCCGAAGCAGAAGCAGAGAAUGGAUACUGAUAUUAUUUCCAUCUGCAAGCCCUCAUGACGUAUGAAGUGCCGAGAGACAUUUAUGGUUUUGUUGCUACCAUUAAGACCUUUGGCAGAGUCCUAAACUUAUUUUGGUCUCUCUCUCUUUUAUUGCAAGCUAUUUCCAGCUGUUUAUUUUUAUCUUGCUUUGAGAUGUUUAAAUAAAAGACAUAAUUUGAAUCUAAAUUGUGGUUGUUAUCAGAUCUGGCUAGAAUAAUAAGACAGUGAUACCAAUUCUCCUGGCUUGAAGUUUGGAGUAGUGGGUCAUUUAUUCAUUCAGUGGACACCUACUAUGUACCAAGCGAAGACUGUUGUAGACUUUGCAUAGACUUUACAGUCUAGUGGGAGAGACAGUCAUUCAAAGAAUCACAUAAAUAAAGGUAAAAUUACAAUUGUUUUAGGUGCUAUGAAGGAAAGGGCAGGAGGAUGAUAUGAUAUGCCAGGGAGAAGAACUGGCUUAUUGAGGGUUCUGGAAAUGUGUCCUCAGUGAAGUGAUGAUCAAACUGAGCAAAUCUCUUAUGCCUGCAUUUUCCCCUUAGAGUCCAAACAUACAUGCUGGAGUCAGAUGGACAAGGGUUCCAAGCCUCCAAUGUUCCUAACUAGCCAUAAGACCUUGGAAAAGUAACCUCAUCUCUUUGGAACUUGGAGUUUUUGUCUGCAAAAUAGAGAAAGCAACAUCCAUCCUGCUGGAUUGCUUGGUGUUGUUGAAACAAUACAUUCUAUAGGUACCUGAUUCAAUUAGACAGUAGGUGCUUCAUAAAUAUCAGCUACUAUUAUUAUUUCACCUAUGAUAAAAUAUAAGUUAUGUGAAUCAGGCCUUAUCCUUUCCAGAGAUAUUUUUUAAGAGGGCUUUCCUGAAGCCUAACCUUAAGCAGCUACCUAGUAGCUCCCUGUCAUGACAUCCUAUUUAACUUUUUUAUUUUUUUUUUUUUACUGUGAAUGUUUGGUAAAUAAAAAUAAAAUAUAUGUAACACAUGCUAUAAAGUCAUCCAAACUUGUGA